rnacentral:rRNA from 1 species
AGAGUUUGAUCCUGGCUCAGGACGAACGCUGGCGGCGUGCCUAACACAUGCAAGUCGAACGGAACUUUUUUUAAUUGGUUUCUUCGGAAUGAUUUUGAUUAAGUUUAGUGGCGGACGGGUGAGUAACGCGUGAGUAACCUGCCUCUGAGAGGGGAAUAACAUUCUGAAAAGAAUGCUAAUACCGCAUAACAUAUAUUUAUCGCAUGGUAGAUAUAUCAAAGAUUUAUCGCUCAGAGAUGGACUCGCGUCCGAUUAGUUAGUUGGUGAGGUAACGGCUCACCAAGACCGCGAUCGGUAGCCGGACUGAGAGGUUGAACGGCCACAUUGGGACUGAGACACGGCCCAGACUCCUACGGGAGGCAGCAGUGGGGGAUAUUGCGCAAUGGGGGAAACCCUGACGCAGCAACGCCGCGUGAAGGAUGAAGGUCUUCGGAUUGUAAACUUCUUUUAUUAAGGACGAAGAAAGUGACGGUACUUAAUGAAUAAGCUCCGGCUAACUACGUGCCAGCAGCCGCGGUAAUACGUAGGGAGCAAGCGUUGUCCGGAUUUACUGGGUGUAAAGGGUGCGUAGGCGGCUUUGCAAGUCAGAUGUGAAAUCUAUGGGCUCAACCCAUAGCCUGCAUUUGAAACUGCAGAGCUUGAGUGAAGUAGAGGCAGGCGGAAUUCCCCGUGUAGCGGUGAAAUGCGUAGAGAUGGGGAGGAACACCAGUGGCGAAGGCGGCCUGCUGGGCUUUAACUGACGCUGAGGCACGAAAGCGUGGGUAGCAAACAGGAUUAGAUACCCUGGUAGUCCACGCUGUAAACGAUGAUUA